UAAAUCCAAAACAAAGUAAAAAACACACACGAAGAAAAAGAGGGAGAGAAGAAACGCAUUAUUCAUUGGCUGCCACCGUCUCUCUCUCUUCACCGCUAAGAAUUCUACGACGUAACACGCAAUCUUUUUCUUUCAUUUUUUUUUUCUUGUGAUCACGUUCUUGCAACUUCUCUAAUCUCUUGAGUUUUACCGGUGCUUUGAGUAGUAUAAUUCUCUGAAAAUUGCCCCAAGAAUUCGUUUUGUGUCUGGUAGCAUUUGUUUUAGGGUUUUAAUUUGAUCUGGUAAAGGGCUUUCCUUUUAGUAUUUUGGUUUUGCCAAUUCACGUAAUUUCUCAGGGGUUUCCUACGGAUCUCAUAGUAUUAGUGAGGGAUUGGGUUUGAUCAAGUUAAGUGCUUGCCGCUACGAAGAAACUUGUAUAUAGAGGGAGAGAGAUGUUAUCGAAUCAUCUGCAGAAUGGAAUGGACACCGCAAAGUUGAUGUGGUCGCGACUGCCGAAGUCGGAGGUGGAGGCGGAAGCAGAUGGGUCUACUGCCGACGAAGUCGGUCGUUAUAAGAAGAACGAUGGAAUCGCUGUUGAAAGCCUCGAUUAUGAAGUCAUUGAGAAUUGCGCGUACAGACAAGAGCAGGCAAAAAGGGGGAAGAUUUAUAGGGCAUAUACUGUCUUGGUAAAGUGGAUUUUGGCAUUGCUUAUUGGGACAGGCACUGCACUAGCUGCUGUUUUCAUCAAUAUUUCUGUUGAGAAUUUUGCGGGAUGGAAGUACUCUUUGACAUUCAAUAUAAUUCAGAAGUCGUACUUUGCUGGAUUUUUGGUAUAUAUGUUGAUCAACUUGGCUCUAGUGUUAUCUUCUGCAUGGAUCAUCACACAGUUUGCACCGGCAGCUGCAGGAUCAGGAAUCCCUGAAAUCAAGGGUUAUUUAAAUGGAAUUGACACACAUGGUAUUCUUCUAUUCAGAACUUUAAUAGGAAAGAUUUUUGGUAGCAUAGGAUCUGUGGGAGGUGGCUUAGCCCUUGGUAAAGAAGGUCCACUUGUACAUAUUGGUGCUUGUAUUGCUUCAUUGCUUGGACAAGGUGGAUCCACAAAAUAUCAUCUGCGCUCAAGAUGGCUUCAAAUUUUUACCAGUGAACGAGAUCGCCGUGAUCUUGUCACAUGUGGAUGUGCAGCAGGCGUGGCUGCUGCUUUUAGAGCUCCAGUUGGUGGUGUGUUGUUUGCACUAGAAGAAGUUACAUCAUGGUGGAGGAGUCAGCUCAUGUGGCGUGUCUUUUUUACAUCUGCCAUUGUAGCUGUUGUUGUACGUUCGGCAAUGGGAUGGUGUAAGAGUGGAAAGUGCGGACAUUUUGGCGAUGGAGGUUUCAUUAUAUGGGACAUCUCAGGUGGUCAAGAAGAUUACUCAUUUCAGGAGUUGUUGCCAAUGGCAGUUAUUGGUGUUAUUGGGGGUCUUCUUGGGGCACUUUUUAAUCAGCUUACUUAUUAUAUAGCCUAUUGGCGUCGCAAUUAUUUGCACAAGAGGGGGAAUCGUGUCAAAGUUGUUGAAGUGUGUAUUGUCUCUGUGAUAACCUCCGUUAUUUCAUUUGGAUUACCACUUUUCAAGAAAUGCACUCCUUGCCCUGAUACAGAUGCCAAUUCCGGUAUUGAAUGUCCACGGCGGCCAGGGAUGUACGGCAAUUAUGUCAAUUUUUAUUGUGGUGAAAAGGAAUAUAAUGAUCUUGCAACUAUAUUCUUCAACACUCAGGAUGAUGCCAUCAGAAAUUUGUUCAGUGCCAAAACAAUUCAUGAAUUCAGUGCGCAGAGCUUACUGACGUUUUUGGUUAUGUUUUACUCCUUAGCAGUUGUCACUUUUGGUACUGCCGUUCCAGCUGGUCAAUUUGUUCCUGGCAUAAUGAUUGGUUCAACUUAUGGGCGGCUUGUUGGCAUGUUUGUCGUGAGCUUUUACCAGAAGCUGAAUAUUGAAGAAGGAACAUAUGCUCUCUUAGGUGCGGCAUCUUUUCUUGGAGGCUCGAUGCGGAUGACUGUUUCCCUUUGUGUGAUUAUGGUUGAGAUCACAAAUAACUUGAAGCUUCUACCUCUCAUCAUGCUGGUUCUUCUUAUAUCAAAGGCAGUUGGUGAUGCUUUCAAUGAAGGCUUGUAUGAAGAGCAAGCUCGACUACGAGGCAUUCCUCUAUUGGAAUCAAGACCAAAAUAUCAAAUGAGAAAUAUUACGGCAAAGGAGGCUUGUGGAAAUCAGCAGGUUGUCUAUUUUCCUCGUGUUGUGAAGGUUAUGGAUGUACUUUCUAUUUUGAAGGGCAACAAUCACAACGGCUUUCCUGUCAUUGAUCACACAAGAAGUGGGGAGACGCUUGUAAUAGGCCUCAUAUUGAGAAGUCAUUUGCUGGUACUGUUGCAGUCAAAGGUUGAUUUUCAACACAGUCCAUUGCCCUUCAGUUCAAGAGAUGGACCAAUACCAAUCAGGCAUAAUCUCACGGAAUUUGUCAAGCCUGUUUCUAGCAAGGGAUUGUCCAUACAUGACAUUCACCUAACCCCUGAUGAUCUGGAAAUGUACAUUGACCUUGCUCCAUUUUUAAAUCCCUCUCCUUACGUUGUUCCUGAGGAUAUGUCAUUAACCAAGGUAUAUAACCUUUUCCGGCAGUUGGGGUUAAGGCAUUUACUUGUUGUUCCGCAUGCUUCUCGUGUUGUUGGAAUGAUUACAAGGAAGGAUUUAUUAAUUGAGGAUAAUGAAGACAUAGCUGGUGUAGAGCUUCAAACCACUAGUGUAAGCAGGGAUCAUCAAGGUGACAGAAGCCUGUCGAGGGGGAAACCAGACGCCGAACAACCGCUGCUCGAUAUGGUCUUCUAGUUUGAAAAUUGUUAGGACUAUAUGAGGUUCAACCACAUCUGUCAUCAAAGGUUAUUGCUCGUCUCCCGAACACUUCAACUCUUCGAUAUAAGAAAAGGUGUUCACUGUAAACUAAAUCAACUGCAAAAUGCCAUUGCCGUAGACAGCCUCUCGCUCUCCAAGCUCUCUCUCUCUCUCUCUCGCACAUAGCCCGCGCCCACCACUGUCAUAGACGCCCCAACCCUCGUCAAUGGUGACCUCUGCCCCAACACCAACAGUGACCACCAAAAGAACUAUCCCUACCAUUCGACACCCGGCCCCUGCCUACCUCCAGAUCUAUGGGCACCUUCGGUUUCAUCUCCACCACAGCACCCGCCCACAGAACAAGGCAAAGGCUGGUCAUUUGGUAACUGCCCGGGUGGGUUUCAGCUAAUUCAAAUGUAAGGCCAAAUAGAUAAAACGGUUGCCUGAUUAUAUCCAUAUUUUGGGGGAGCAGAUUAGAUGAGGAGUUUAAUGUCUGUAAGUUUAUGGAGUAAUUUACUAACCACCCCUAUGAAUGAGUAUAAUUAUCCAUUAGACCCCACUUUACUGAAAUAAAAUCUCCCCUUCAGCUUU